CGGAGUAUGGCGCAAUUUGGUAGCGUCCCGCCUGGGAAUGGUGGAGGUCGUAGGUUCAAAUCCUGCUGCUCCGA
rnacentral:tRNA from 1 species